rnacentral:tRNA from 1 species
GCAUCGGUGGCUUAGUGGUAGAAUGCUCGCCUGCCACGCGGGCGGGCGGCCGGGUUCAAUUCCCGGCCGAUGCA